AUUGAACGCUAGCGGGAUGCUUUACACAUGCAAGUCGAACGGCAGCGCGGACUUCGGUCUGGCGGCGAGUGGCGAACGGGUGAGUAAUGUAUCGGAACGUGCCCAGUAGCGGGGGAUAACUACGCGAAAGCGUAGCUAAUACCGCAUACGCCCUACGGGGGAAAGCAGGGGAUCGUAAGACCUUGCACUAUUGGAGCGGCCGAUAUCGGAUUAGCUAGUUGGUGAGGUAACGGCUCACCAAGGCGACGAUCCGUAGCUGGUUUGAGAGGACGACCAGCCACACUGGGACUGAGACACGGCCCAGACUCCUACGGGAGGCAGCAGUGGGGAAUUUUGGACAAUGGGGGCAACCCUGAUCCAGCCAUCCCGCGUGUGCGAUGAAGGCCUUCGGGUUGUAAAGCACUUUUGGCAGGAAAGAAACGUCGCGGGCUAAUACCCCGUGGAACUGACGGUACCUGCAAAAUAAGCACCGGCUAACUACGUG
rnacentral:rRNA from 1 species